AAUAGAUACCCAGGUAGUCCACGCCGUAAACGGUGGGCGCUAGGUGUGGGGGACUUUCCACGUCCUCUGUGCCGCAGCUAACGCAUUAAGCGCCCCGCCUGGGGAGUACGGCCGCAAGGCUAAAACUCAAAGGAAUUGACGGGGGGCCCGCACAAGCGGCGGAGCAUGUGGCUUAAUUCGACGCAACGCGAAGAACCUUACCAAGGCUUGACAUGCAGGGAAAUCUCGUAGAGAUACGGGGUCCGCAAGGGCUCUGCACAGGUGGUGCAUGGUUGUCGUCAGCUCGUGUCGUGAGAUGUUGGGUUGAGUCCCGCAACGAGCGCAACCCUUGUCCUAUGUUGCCAGCGAGUAAUGUCGGGGACUCAUAGGAGACUGCCGGGGUCAACUCGGAGGAAGGUGGGGAUGACGUCAAAUCAUCAUGCCCCUUAUGUCUUGGGCUGCACACAUGCUACAAUGGUCGGUACAAAGGGCUGCGAGACCGCAAGGUGGAGCGAAUCCCAAAAAGCCGGCCUCAGUUCGGAUUGGGGU
rnacentral:rRNA from 1 species